rnacentral:rRNA from 1 species
AUUGAACGCUGGCGGCAGGCCUAACACAUGCAAGUCGAGCGGAUGAAGGGAGCUUGCUCCUGGAUUCAGCGGCGGACGGGUGAGUAAUGCCUAGGAAUCUGCCUGGUAGUGGGGGAUAACGUCCGGAAACGGGCGCUAAUACCGCAUACGUCCUGAGGGAGAAAGUGGGGGAUCUUCGGACCUCACGCUAUCAGAUGAGCCUAGGUCGGAUUAGCUAGUUGGUGGGGUAAAGGCCUACCAAGGCGACGAUCCGUAACUGGUCUGAGAGGAUGAUCAGUCACACUGGGACUGAGACACGGUCCAGACUCCUACGGGAGGCAGCAGUGGGGAAUAUUGGACAAUGGGCGAAAGCCUGAUCCAGCCAUGCCGCGUGGGUGAAGAAGGUCUUCGGAUUGUAAAGCACUUUAAGUUGGGAGGAAGGGCAGUAAGUUAAUACCUUGCUGUUUUGACGGUACCAACAGAAUAAGCACCGGCUAACUUCGUG